AUUGAACGCUGGCGGAAUGCUUUACACAUGCAAGUCGAACGGCAGAGGGGGCAACCCCUCGAGAGUGGCGAACGGGUGAGUAAUAUAUCGGAACGUGCCCAGUCGUGGGGGAUAACGUAGCGAAGGUUACGCUAAUCCCGCAUACGAUCUAAGGAUGAAAGCGGGGGAUCGCAAGACCUCGCGCGAUUGGAGCGGCCGAUAUCAGAUUAGGUAGUUGGUGGGGUAAAGGCGCACCAAGCCAACGAUCUGUAGCUGGUCUGAAAGGACGACCAGCCAAACUUGAACUGAGGCACGGUCCAGACUCCUACGGGAGGCAGCAGUGGGGAAUUUUGGACAAUGGACGCAAGUCUGGUCCAGCCAUUCCGCGUGCAGGAUGAAGGCCCUCGGGUUGUAAACUGCUUUUGUACGGAACGAAAAGGUCUCUCUUAAUACGGGGGGCUCAUGACGGUACCGUAAGAAUAAGCACCGGCUAACUACGUGCCAGCCGCCGCGGUAA
rnacentral:rRNA from 1 species